rnacentral:rRNA from 1 species
UACGGGGGGGGCAAGCGUUGUCCGGAUUUACUGGGCGUAAAGAGCGCGCAGGCGGCUGGUCAAGUCCGAUGUGAAAUCUCCCGGCUCAACUGGGAAACUGCAUCGGAAACUGAUCGGCUUGAAGGUGGGAGAGGGUAGUGGAAUUCCCGGUGUAGUGGUGAAAUGCGUAGAUAUCAGGAGGAACACCAAUGGCGAAGGCAGCUCGCUGGAACGGUACUGACGCUGAGGCGCGAAAGCGUGGGGAGCAAACAGG